CCUACGGGAGGCAGCAGUGAGGAAUAUUGGUCAAUGGCCGUAAGGCUGAACCAGCCAAGUCGCGUGAAGGAAGAAGGAUCUAUGGUUUGUAAACUUCUUUUAUAGGGGAAUAAAGGUAUCCACGUGUGGAUAUUUGCAUGUACACUAUGAAUAAGCAUCGGCUAACUCCGUGCCAGCAGCCGAGGUAAUACGGCGGAUGCGAGCGUUAUCCGGAUUUAGUGGGUUUAAAGGGUGCGUAGGUUGUUUUUUAAGUCAGCGGUGAAAGUUUGUGGCUCAACCAUAAAAUUGCCGUUGAAACUGGAAGACUUGAGUGUGUUUGAGGUAGGCGGAAUGCGUGGUGUAGCGGUUAAAUGCAUAGAUAUCACGCAGAACUCCGAUUGCGAAGGCAGCUUACUAAGCCAUAACUGACACUGAAGCACGAAAGCGUGGGGAUCAAACAGGAUUAGAUACCCGAGUAGUC
rnacentral:rRNA from 1 species